rnacentral:rRNA from 1 species
CCUUGGGUGGCGAGUGGCGGACGGGUGAGGAAUACAUCGGAAUCUACUCUGUCGUGGGGGAUAACGUAGGGAAACUUACGCUAAUACCGCAUACGACCUACGGGUGAAAGCAGGGGAUCUUCGGACCUUGCGCGAUUGAAUGAGCCGAUGUCGGAYUAGGUAGUUGGCGGGGUAAAGGCCCACCAAGGCGACGAUCCGUAGAUGGUCUGAGAGGAUGAUCAGCCACACUGGAACUGAGACACGGUCCAGACUCCUACGGGAGGCAGCAGUGGGGAAUAUUGGACAAUGGGCGCAAGCCUGAUCCAGCCAUACCGCGUGGGUGAAGAAGGCCUUCGGGUUGUAAAGCCCUUUUGUUGGGAAAGAAAUCCAGCCGGCUAAUACCUGGUUGGGAUGACGGUACCCAAAGAAUAAGCACCGGCUAACUUCGUGCCAGCAGCCGCGGUAAUACGAAGGGUGCAAGCGUUACUCGGAAUUAAUGGGCGUAAAGCGUGCGUAGGUGGUCGUUUAAGUCCGGUGUGAAAGGCCCUGGGCUCAACCCUGGGAACUGCAAGUGGAUCACUGGC